UGCCAGCAGCCGCGGUAAGACGUAGGGGGCCAGCGUUGUUCGGAAUUACUGGGUGUAAAGGGUCCGUAGGCGGUGUGGCAAGUUGGGAGUGAAAUCUCUGGGCUCAACCCAGAGGCUGCUUCCAAAACUGCUGUGCUUGAGUGUGAGAGAGGCUCGUGGAAUUGCAGGUGUAGCGGUGAAAUGCGUAGAUAUCUGCAGGAACACCCGUGGCGAAAGCGGCGAGCUGGAUCACUACUGACGCUGAGGAACGAAAGCUAGGGGAGCAAACAGGAUUAGAUACCCUGGUAGUCCUAGCCCUAAACGAUCAGGACUUGGGGUGCCGCCCGUUCGGGCGUCGUCCCGGAGCUAAACGCGUUAAGUCCUGCACCUGGGGAGUACGGUCGCAAGACUAAACUCAAAGGAAUGACGGGC
rnacentral:rRNA from 1 species